UUCGUAUUUGGNNCUCGGUUNNCAAGUUACAAAACACAACGACUGAUACAGUGACGCAGAGCAACGGGAAACCUGGUUAUCAUGGAGAUUGGAUCUCUGGUUAUCCGCGUAGAGGAAGUGGAUACAAGACGUACACCGGAUUGUUGCUUGACAUCGUACCGCCAAGUUCAACCAGCUCCUACCACGGAAUGUGGAAUCAUCGCCCGACAUUGGUUGUUGCGGCCGUUACACCAUUAUGUUCAACUAACCUAAUGUAUCUUAGUUAGCAUAAGUAGAAUGAAUUAAUAUUUAAAUGGAUGAAUGUAAGGUAUAUACAAGGGUCGAAUUAGUAGCGUGCAUUUUCUCUUUGUUCAAAUUUGACGCAUUUUUCCGCAAGGUUUAAUCACUCACGCCAACACACGUUUAUAACAUUCGUUCACUCUGCGUCGCAUUGUAACGGUAAUAAUACCAUCUACGGUAAAAA